GACUUCUACAGUCCCACAAUUUCCUAAAGUGCUUUCGGCCUCUGCUCUUCUUUUGACAGAAGCAGUAUCACUUCUGCUGGACCCAUCUGUUUUUUCUUGAUCUACCCUUUUCCACCUGCAAAAAGAAAAGUUGCCCAGUCAGUGCUCUGCAAACAGGCAGGUUUCUCUCAGGUCAAAGUGAGUGCACAGACAUUCGGAUGGAGUGUUG